rnacentral:lncRNA from 1 species
CUUUUGGCUAGAGCUGUGCAAAAGGGCAGAAUCCCAGACCCAGGUCCCAGGAGAUAUCCUCAUGUACCCCUCUGCUCGAAGAUACAUGAAUGCACCUCUAACAUCUGCAGAGGUAUGAGAUAUGCUGCUGGAUUUAUAGACUUGAGUGGUGUUGGAGUGGCAGCUGGAGAGGUACCCUCAAUGUCUCGUGGAGAGCAAGGACAGCGCUGCACUGCUGGGUACAGCCACAACAGCUUCCACACGGGCUGGGUAAGGUGCUCACCCUGCACACAACCCAGGGAGGCUGCAGCACCCACCCUCUGCCAAUGCAGACUGUGUAGUGAUAGGUAAGGGAUGAAGCUGCAGAGGAACCUAAACCCACCUGUGAGAUGUCUCUGGUCCCUGGCAGAUCUCCUGGGAGCCAAAUGGCUGUGACGGCAGAGAGUGGAUCAUACUGAUUCUUCAGGGAUGGGGAGGUCAGUUCUGGUGUGUUCCCC